UGGGGAAUAUUGCACAAUGGGCGCAAGCCUGAUGCAGCCAUGCCGCGUGUAUGAAGAAGGCCUUCGGGUUGUAAAGUACUUUCAGCGGGGAGGAAGGGAGUAAAGUUAAUACCUUUGCUCAUUGACGUUACCCGCAGAAGAAGCACCGGCUAACUCCGUGCCAGCAGCCGCGGUAAUACGGAGGGUGCAAGCGUUAAUCGGAAUUACUGGGCGUAAAGCGCACGCAGGCGGUUUGUUAAGUCAGAUGUGAAAUCCUCGGGCUCAACCUGGGAACUGCAUCGGAUACUGGCAAGCUUGAGUCUCGUAGAGGGGGGUAGAAUUCCAGGUGUAGCGGUGAAAUGCGUAGAGAUCUGGAGGAAUACCGGUGGCGAAGGCGGCCCCCUGGACGAAGACUGACGCUCAGGUGCGAAAGCGUGGGGAGCAAACAGG
rnacentral:rRNA from 1 species